rnacentral:rRNA from 1 species
GACGAACGCUGGCGGCGUGCUUAACACAUGCAAGUCGAGCGGAGCGGCGAACGGGUGAGUAACGCGUGAGUAACUGACCCCCUCGCUGGGACAACAGUUGGACACGGCUGCUAAAACCGGAUAGUGGGGGGGGACUCGCGUCCUAUCAGCUUGUUGGUGGGGUAGUGGUGGACCAAGGCGACGACGGGUAGCCGGCAUGCGAGGGCGACCGGCCACAUGGGUCUGAGAGACGGACCAAACUCCUACGUGGGGCAGCAGGGGGAAAUAUUGCACAGGGGGGGAAUCUCUAAUGAAGCAGCGCCGCGUGCGGAAUGAAGGCUUUCGUGUUGUAAACCGCUUUCAGCCAUGACGCGGUAGUGGCAGAAGAAGCACCGGCUAACUACGUGCCAGCAGCCGCGGUAAUUC